UGUUGAGCGCAGGCAGCGCCCGGGAAGCCUCGGCCGUCGCCUGCCUGGGUGCUCCCGCGGAUGGGGCUGGACGGGGCCGCCCUCCCUGCAACGACGCCCCGUCGGUGCCCCGAGUCCGCAACCUCGGUGGGCGGCAGCCCGGAACAUCCUCGCUUUUGAUCCGGAGAGCCCCUCGGCAACAAGAGCCCAAGUUACCAACUUUGAAAACUUUAGAGGCGCUGGAGCUCAGCGCGUUUCUUUCGCGGGGCUCCCUGAAAGCCGCUGAGAUUUUAAAACCUUGAGUGUGCGGAGGCUACAGAUCCCGGCUUUUCCCAGGUGGUCCUCGACUUAACAACGGUAGCGAGAAAGCAGAGACUGGUUUUUCUCACGGCACGUAUGCCAAGAAGACUCAGCAAAAUGAAGAAGAAGAAAGGACUGGAAAAUCUAUCCUGCUGGAGGAUGAUAACUUCCGGGGCAAACAAAUAUGCAUGAAUAAUAUAUCCCGCUUUUUUGGAAUCUUUGCCUUUUAGAGACAGAUUGCAAAAAUGAGGCCAUUCUCAGCACCCCCAAAAAUGUGCAGAAGAAAUCACUUCCUGCUUCCUCCCCAGUAACCGUCAUUGUUCGGUGCUUUUAAAAUCUAAAGCCAGGCUGCGUUUUUUGCAGAUCGUGACUGUCUGAGAUCUACAUUUCAAACCUAUUUUCCUCGCAAACAUCAGCUAGGAAGAAGAUCACACAUUACGCUGCAGAACUAUUUAUAGAGCUUGGAAAGUUAGUUGCCUCUUACCACAUGCAGCCCUUUGCUGGAAGCUCGGCUCGCCACCGUUCAAUUGUGCCAGAGUCGGCGCCUCGAACGCCUGCCUGCGAAGACGGCUGCAAAAAAAAAAAAAAAUGAAAAGAGAAAGAAGGCUGGGUGGGGUUGGGGAUUUUGACUAUUCAUGCUUCUGAACGCAGCACUUUCUGCUCUCUUUGCAUAAGUCUCUUUUGUGGCUUGAGCAUGUGAUCCAAUUUGCUAAGUUGCUAUGCAACCAUCAGUCCUCUCUUGGCUGGAUCUAACAGAAUUGGUCAGGCCGAAGUCAAGGUCAUUCAUGCCUAGAAGAUUUGAAGUGGGACUGGAAUUCCCGUGAAGAGGA